AGAGUUUGAUCAUGGCUCAGAACGAACGUUGGCGGCAUGGAUUAGGCAUGCAAGUCGCGCGAAUGCCCGCAAGGGUGGAAGCGGCGUAAGGGGCAGUAAGGCGUGGAUAACCUACCCUGGGAUUCGGCAUAGCCCGUCGAGAGACGGGGUAAUUCCGAGCGAUGCAGUUGUCGGGCAUCCGAUGAUUGCCAAAGUUGCGGCGUCUUGGGAGGGGUUCACGUGGUAUUAGCUAGUUGGUGAGGUAACGGCUCACCAAGGCGGAGAUGCCUAGCGGGUGUGAGAGCACGACCCGCGCCACUGGCACUGAGACACUGGCCAGACACCUACGGGUGGCUGCAGUCGAGGAUCUUCGGCAAUGGGGGCAACCCUGACCGAGCGAUGCCGCGUGGGCGACGAAGGCCUUCGGGUUGUAAAGCCCUGUCGAGGGGGAGAAACUUUGAUCUAUCCCUGGAGGAAGCUCGGGCUAAGUUCGUGCCAGCCGCCGCGGUAAUAC
rnacentral:rRNA from 1 species